CAGUGGUUUGUAUAUGGCAUGUAUACAGCUGAAGCCUGAAGUUGAUAAACGUGUUUAUGUUAAUUAACAGUAAUUUACCUUGAGACCAGCAGUCUUUUGCAUGACAAUAAACGUCUGACAAUAAAUCAUGACCUCCACAGCUCUCGGCCUGUGUCUGGGUCUCCUACAUCAUGACUCCACAGCUCUAGGUCUGUGUCUGGGUCUCCUACAUCAUGACUCCACAGCUCUAGGUCUGUGUCUGGGUCUCCUACAUCAUGACUCCACAGCUCUAGGACUGUAUCUGGGUCUCCUACAUCAUGACUCCACAGCUCUAGGUCUGUGUCUGGGUCUACUACAUCAUGACUCCACAGCUCUAGGUCUGUGUCUGGGUCUCCUACAUCAUGACAGCUCUAGGCCUGUGUUUGGGUCUCCUACAUCAUGACUCCACAGCUCUAGGCCUGUGUCUGGGUCUCCUACAUCAUGACCCCACAGCUCUAGGACUGUAUCUGGGUCUCCUACAUCAUGACUCCACAGCUCUAGGUCUGUGUCUGGGUCUCCUACAUCAUGACUCCACAGCUCUAGGUCUGUGUCUGGGUCUCCUACAUCAUGACUCCACAGCUCUAGGACUGUAUCUGGGUCUCCUACAUCAUGACUCCACAGCUCUAGGUCUGUGUCUGGGUCUCCUACAUCAUGACUCCACAGCUCUAGGUCUGUGUCUGCGUCUCCUACAUCAUGACUCCACAGCUCUAGGACUGUAUCUGGGUCUCCUACAUCAUGACUCCACAGCUCUAGGUCUGUGUCCAGGUCUCCUACAUCAUGACUCCACAGCUCUAGGUCUGUGUCCAGGUCUCCUACAUCAUGACUCCACAGCUCUAGGUCUGUGUCUGGGUCUCCUACAUCAUGACAGCUCUAGGACUGUAUCUGGGUCUCCUACAUCAUGACUCCACAGCUCUAGGACUGUAUCUGGGUCUCCUACAUCAUGACUCCACAGCUCUAGGACUGUGUCUGGGUUUCCUAAAUCAUCCUCUUCCCUCCAUGUCCUCCUGGCUGCUGCUGUUCUAAGUGCUCCACUGACCUGCUGUUGUCGUCUGUCCUCCUUGGCUCAUCUGAGAUGUUUAGAUUACAUCAUAUUUGAGGACACAUAAUUUAAGGGCCUAUGUAUUUUUCAUGUUUUAUUCACCUACAAUCUUUUCCCCUCCCUUUCUGGCUGCCCUGCCCCCUUCCCUACUCAGAUCAAGUUUGUUUAUUAUAUACACAUGAUAUACACUGUGUGUACAAAACAUUAGGAAUACCUG
rnacentral:lncRNA from 1 species